rnacentral:lncRNA from 1 species
AGUGUGUGUAUCACUAUGUGUGUAGUGUUCUCCGGUAUGUGUGUGUGCGUUCGUUUUUCGAUGGCAGUGUGUGUGUAUGAUCAAUGUUUUCUGAUGGCAGUGUGUAUGGCAAUGUGUGUGUAAGGCAGUGUGCGUGUAUGGAAGAGUGUGUAUAUAUAUAUAUAUGAUUAUGUGAGUAUUUUAAUGAAAAUAAAAUAAAAUAAAGGUUUAUAAUGAAAAUUGAGGGACUAUUUGAUAAAAAAAAAGAAGGUUUAUAACAUUUUUAUCACUUUCACGCGCUCAAUGCGCGUGACUUACACGCAAUGGGCCA